GGAAAUCAUGCAGGGAAAUUCUCUUUGGGGUGCUGGUCUUCGAAUAAAAUUCAUGGAUAAAGGAUUAGGUACCAAGGGGACUAUAAAUAGUGCCAGUGUUGGUUCUAGUUGCUAUAUUUAUGUUGGAAGUGUUCAGAGCCGCUGGAUGAAGGAUGAUGUCGUGCAUGAGCUGAGAAAAGCUCUUCAAAAAGGUCCUCGGAUGGUAACUGAUCUAGGCAGUGAAGGAGCAUUGCUGAUGGAGUUCAACACACCUGAGGAGGCCACAAUUGCCAUGAAUCAUCUACGGCACUGGCGUAAAGUAAGGAGUGACUGCAUUCAGCCCCCAUACUUAGGUCCGACUAAUGCUUCCAUGCAUACUGAAGGUAUAAGACCUAGCUCUACGUCUGUUUAUGUUGGUACGGGAAGCAAUUAUUGUGCGAAUAGUACUGUUGGGCCAUCUCACUUCAAGAACAUGCUUGAGAACCAUUCUGACAGUCACGUUCCAAGAAUAUCACGUCUAUCUUCAUUGCUUUCACAGUUGAGUGCCAAAUAUAAUGUCAAAUAUGAUCCUGGCUAUAAUAGUCAUCAUAUGCCGGGGAGUUGUGAAACUGGAUUCUUU
rnacentral:misc_RNA from 1 species